UGAAAAGUGUCCCCCCAAAUUACCCUCAAUUUUAUUACAAUGUCUGAUGCCCUCCCUCCAAUAGAUUGAUGAUGCUAUUAUUGUAGAAUUAGAUGAAGACAUUGUUGAAUCAAAACUCUCUUCAGUGUCCUUGUUCCCAGAGCUACCUGAGGCUGACAGGAUUAGAUUCAAAACACAGUUGGUAUUGCCAUCUGCUAUAGAGAGGGAAAGGAGGAAGAGUAAUUUUGAACAUUAUAAGGACACCACACUCUCAGCCUUGUUUCUGGAGCUAAUGGUCGGAGUAUUUGAGUAAGUUACGUAGGAUGAUAAAGAUAAUUGAAGAACCACUCCAGUCUGGUUUAUAUGAUGUCCUCCCUACUACUAUUGGAAGGUUUGGCUCCUGAGGAUUUGAGGCUUUUGCUCUGUGGGUGUCAGCAGGUUGAACUUGACGUACUCAAAAAGAUAACAACUUUGACCAACAAGAGUUGUAGAGGUAUUCAGAAGAUAUUGAAGGUGUGGCCACAGACCAGUGUCCCUCCCCCUAAGAUUCACUACUUGAUUUUAGCACCAAUCCCAGUACAGAUUGGACUCAAUAGGUCAAUGGAAAUGAAAAAGAGGGACAGAAUGGGGACAUCAAAUUCAUUCAGCAGUGUGUGUCUUACUGGGUGUCUAGUCUAUGACUAUUGAGCUAUUGGGAUGGGUCUGUCCUGAGUCAGUUGGUAAACUCGAGCACUCAAUAUUCAACCAGUUGCAAGAUGUGUCUUGAAUGGGAGGAGACUAGGCUUUGAUGAACUGAGGACUUUAGUAGUGGACGGUUGUCUUUAUUAUUAUUAUUAAUUUUUUUGAAUGGCCUUUUGUUAAUAAAGCUAGCCUAUGCAAACAAAUGGAAA
rnacentral:lncRNA from 1 species